GAUCCUGCUCAGGAUGAACGCUGGCGGCGUGCUUAACACAUGCAAGUCGAACGAAGCACUUUAUUUGAUUUCCUUCGGGACUGAUUAUUUUGUGACUGAGUGGCGGACGGGUGAGUAACGCGUGGGUAACCUGCCUUGUACAGGGGGAUAACAGUUGGAAACGGCUGCUAAUACCGCAUAAGCGCACAGCAUCGCAUGAUGCAGUGUGAAAAACUCCGGUGGUAUAAGAUGGACCCGCG
rnacentral:rRNA from 1 species